rnacentral:rRNA from 1 species
CAGUCGCCGCGGUAAUACGUAUGUCGCGAGCGUUAUCCGGAAUUAUUGGGCAUAAAGGGCAUCUAGGUGGCCGGAUAAGUCUGGGGUGAAAACUUGCGGCUCAACCGCAAGCCUGCCCUGGAAACUAUGCGGCUAGAGUACUGGAGAGGUGGACGGAACUGCACGAGUAGAGGUGAAAUUCGUAGAUAUGUGCAGGAAUGCCAAUGAUGAAGAUAGUUCACUGGACGGUAACUGACGCUGAAGUGCGAAAGCUAGGGGAGCAAACAGGAUUAGAUACCCGGGUAGUCCCUGUCUCUUAUAC